rnacentral:sRNA from 1 species
AUAAUUACGUUGCUAUGGACACCGAGUUUCCAGGUGUGGUUGCAAGACCCAUUGGAGAAUUCAGGAGCAAUGCUGACUAUCAAUACCAACUAUUGCGGUGUAAUGUAGACUUGUUAAAGAUAAUUCAGCUAGGACUGACAUUUAUGAAUGAGCAAGGAGAAUACCCUCCAGGAACUUCAACUUGGCAGUUUAAUUUUAAAUUUAAUUUGACGUAAGUGGGAAAUAACUGUAUAACCCAGACUUUUUUUUUUUUUCUUUAAUCUUAGGAAUUGAUUUUCCUCAAGUAUGGUGACAUGCUAGGUGAAUUUGGUGUAGUUAUCCUGGAAAUAUAUAAAACGUAACAUUUCAAAAGCAUAGUUUUCUUUUUUACUAUGGGACCAAAAAAAAUACUUUGAUGUUAAAGAUGUUAUAUUUAAAAUGUGACUGCAACUUUUUUUGUAUUUGGAAAACUUUGGGUAUUGAAAGUACUUCUGAUAGAAAAAAUAAUCCUACAUUAGUUUUACUUUCAAAAAUUUUGUGUGCAAUUUGAAAUAUAGCCUUUUAUAAUUAUCCUUCUUGUAAAGAUUUUUAUUGCAUUCAUAUUCCAGUUUAUGAGUAGAUUACAUGUCAAAUGCAGUAAGACGUUUUCUGGAACCUUGGGUACGUUUUCCUUUCAAGUCAGUAUUACAUAAUCAUUAUGUUGCCACUUCAGCCCACAAAAGCUCUCUUAAUUUACAUAUAGGAGAAGUAGUAGUAUCCUUGAACCUGGUGUUUAUCAUAUGUCAGAAUCUGCAUUCUAACUCAAGCCCUGGGUCUUCACCCAGUUUCCUUAGUUAUAGUAUUUCUAUAUUAUUAGUAGAAGUAGUCUUGAUAGCUAAGGGAAGUUUUAGAUGUUUUUGGAGAAGGGCAGAUUAUUUGCAAACUGUAAGUUGGGUAAAUAAAAUAUUUAAUACAGUCUAAUUACAGCAGGACGUCAAAUGUCAUUUUCUUCAACACUGUUUCAUGGUAACCUUCAUAAAAAAUAAAAUUGAUUCCUGACCUGGGCCACUAUCUGUGUGGAGUUUGCACGUUCUCGUGUAUAUGUAGAUUUUCUCCCGGGUCCUCUGAUUUCCUCCCACAUCCCAAGGCUGUGCACGUUAGGUCAAAUGGUGUGGCUAAGUUGUCCCAAUGUGAAUGAGUAGGUGUAUCUGUGUGAGUGCACCGUGCCACGGAAUGACAUGCAUACCAGGGUUGGUUCCCACAUUGUGUCCUGAGCUGCCAGAAUAGGCUCUGGCUUGCUUCACCCUUCAGCUGAAUAAUGGAGCAAAUAAUUAUCUUGUUUUUAUUAAUCGUUCUUAAAUUUACAUAUAGCUCACAUUUAUUUCAUUGUUUAAUAUUAGAAGUAUUUUGGUUUUUAUCUAGAAGUUUGGUGAUUUUUUUGUGACCAGAAAUAUGCCAUAGGAGCUUAACUCUUGUUUUUAUCAGUUAGCCUGUGGUAAAAAUUGGUUUCGUUAUCCAUCUUUUGGCUUAAAGUUGCAAUUUCCAAGAACUUAUUGAUAACGUUGAGUGAGUACUUAACUGUAUGUUGCAAUAUUGCAUUGUUCUUCUAUUUGAUAUCCUACAUUUGUGUCAUAUAUCCUAAUAUCUGGUAGGUAAAAUAGUAAAAGAAACUGUAGGCAAUUAAUGGUAGUGCCAAUGUAUGAAUUCUUUCUUCCCGUUCUUUGUCAAAUAAACAAAGAUAUUUAGUAUACACAAUUUUACGAAAGUAGGGCUGAGGAAAAGCAGAGUAAUGGUGCCUGUGGUAUAGUAAUAUGGCUUAUAAUUACACUGUGUUUAGCGUGACUCUCCAUUUCACUCUUUUGGGUUUAAUAAUAUACUCUCCAUUCGGAGACCAAGGCAGGAGGAUUGCUUGAGGCCAGGAGUUCUAGACCAACCUGGUCAACAUAGACUCUGUCUCUAC